GCUUCACACUAAAGGAGAGGUUAGCACUCCCCUUGAGAAGGAUAGGAAAGGUCUUAGUGGCCUUUACAACACAUGUAUGGUUAAGGCAUUGCCAACAACUUCAUGACAUCUAACCAUGGUCUAGU